UACGUAGGGUGCGAGCGUUGUUCGGAUUUACUGGGCGUAAAGCGCACGUAGGCGGAUCGAUCAGUCAGGGGUGAAAUCCCAGGGCUCAACCCUGGAACUGCCUUUGAUACUGUCGAUCUGGAGUAUGGAAGAGGUGAGUGGAAUUCCGAGUGUAGAGGUGAAAUUCGUAGAUAUUCGGAGGAACACCAGUGGCGAAGGCGGCUCACUGGUCCAUUACUGACGCUGAGGUGCGAAAGCGUGGGGAGCAAACAGG
rnacentral:rRNA from 1 species